CCGGAGAACAUCUUAUAUCAGUUGGUCAUAGAUCACCCUGUGUUACUAGCACAGUCAUGUUAUAUUGCCUUUUCUGUCAUUUUAACAAAUCGGUCCUUCGUUUUGAUACAGAUGCAACAGCUUCUUGAUGUGUUACCUACAAUCACGAUGUGUAGUGUAACUGAUUUGUUCUGUUGUGUUGUUUUAUUUUCUGAUGACUUAGGUACCGGUGUAGGGACGGUGUUAAAAAUUUCAGUAUUAGUAUCUAUACAGUUUGUGAAAUGGCGACAACAUUGUUGUUGGCUGCAUUUGUUACAUAAAAUACCAUGUUCAAAAAAUGUUUCGAUUUUUUUUUUGUUGUUUUGAAACUUGUAUACAAUGGCCUUAUUUUAAGUUAUGUGUAUAUUACACCCGCAACAUGUAGGCUUCAUUUCUAUAGAAUUAAUUCUCGUGUUAUUGGUUAUGUACAGGCACCUACAUCAGUUUGACGGCAGUUGUCCCUUGAAUAUAUGUGAUAAAUGUAAACACAUGAAUGAAAGUAAGUCAAUGAGUAUGGAAUGAUUGCACACAAUAAGCGAUACAUUUUUUUUUUUGAUACAUGUAAAAUGAUAUACUAGUAAACUAUAUAGUCAAUAUGAACCAGAAUGACUCUAUGAAUUAAGCAAA
rnacentral:lncRNA from 1 species